rnacentral:rRNA from 1 species
GUCCACGCCGUAAACGGUGGGCGCUAGGUGUGGGGAACCUUCCACGUUCUCUGUGCCGCAGCUAACGCAUUAAGCGCCCCGCCUGGGGAGUACGGCCGCAAGGCUAAAACUCAAAGGAAUUGACGGGGGCCCGCACAAGCGGCGGAGCAUGCGGCUUAAUUCGAUGCAACGCGAAGAACCUUACCUAGGCUUGACAUAUGCCGAAAACUCAUAGAGAUAUGGGGUCCGCAAGGGCGGUAUACAGGUGGUGCAUGGUUGUCGU